rnacentral:tRNA from 1 species
GCCUGGGUGGCUCAGUCGGUUAAGCGUCUGCCUUCAGCUCAGAUCAUGAUCCCAGGGUCGUGGGAUUGAGUCCCGCACUGGGCU